rnacentral:rRNA from 1 species
GUAGGUGGCAAGCGUUGUUCGGAAUUAUUGGGCGUAAAGCGCGCGCAGGCGGUUCUUUAAGUCUGAUGUGAAAGCCCACGGCUCAACCGUGGAGGGUCAUUGGAAACUGGAGAGCUUGAGUACAGAAGAGGAAAGCGGAAUUCCACGUGUAGCGGUGAAAUGCGUAGAGAUGUGGAGGAACACCAGUGGCGAAGGCGGCUUUCUGGUCUGUAACUGACGCUGAGGCGCGAAAGCGUGGGGAGCAAACAGGAUUAGAUACCCUGGUAGUCCACGCCGUAAACGAUGAGUGCUAAGUGUUAGGGGGUUUCCGCCCCCCUUAGUGCUGCAGCUAACGCAUUAAGCACUCCGCCUGGGAGUACGGCCGCAAGGCUG